AUUGAACGCUGGCGGCAUGCCUUACACAUGCAAGUCGAACGGCAGCACGGGAGCAAUCCUGGCGGCGAGUGGCGAACGGGUGAGUAAAGUAUCGGAACGUGCCCAGUCGUGGGGGAUAACGUAGCGAAAGCUACGCUAAUACCGCAUACGAUCUAUGGAUGUAAGCGGGGGACCGUAAGGCCUCGCGCGAUUGGAGCGGCCGAUAUCAGAUUAGGUAGUUGGUGGGGUAAAGGCCUACCAAGCCGAAGAUCUGUAGCUGGUCUGAGAGGACGACCAGCCACACUGGGACUGAGACACGGCCCAGACUCCUACGGGAGGCAGCAGUGGGGAAUUUUGGACAAUGGGCGCAAGCCUGAUCCAGCAAUGCCGCGUGCAGGAUGAAGGCCUUCGGGUUGUAAACUGCUUUUGUACGGAGCGAAAAGGCUUCCACUAAUACUGGGGGCUCAUGACGGUACCGUAAGAAUAAGCACCGGCUAACUACGUGCCAGCCGCCGCGGUAAUAC
rnacentral:rRNA from 1 species